CAUUACAGAGUUCAUGCCCUUCGGGGUAGAUCUCCCACCCGUGUCAUCACACCUUUGUUGCUUUGGCGGGCCCGCCUCGGCCACCGGCUCCGGCUGGUGAGCGCCCGCCAGAGGACCCCAAACUCUGAAAUUUAGUGUCGUCUGAGUACUAUAUAAUAGUUAAAACUUUCAACAACGGAUCUCUUGGUUCUGGCAUCGAUGAAGAACGCAGCGAAAUGCGAUAAGUAAUGUGAAUUGCAGAAUUCAGUGAAUCAUCGAAUCUUUGAACGCACAUUGCGCCCCUUGGUAUUCCGGGGGGCAUGCCUGUUCGAGCGUCAUUACAACCCUCAAGCUCUGCUUGGUAUUGGGCGUCCCCGGCGACGGGGUGCCCUAAAAUCAGUGGCGGUGCCGUCUGGCUCUAAGCGUAGUAAAUCUCUCGCUCUGGAUGCCCGGUGGAUGCUCGCCAGAACCCCCCAUUUU
rnacentral:misc_RNA from 1 species